rnacentral:rRNA from 1 species
UACGUAGGGAGCAAGCGUUGUUCGGAUUUACUGGGCGUAAAGGGCGCGUAGGCGGUGUGUCAAGUCAGGCGUGAAAGCCCCGGGCUCAACCUGGGAACCGCGCUUGAGACUGGCACGCUCGAGUUCGGGAGAGGAUGGUGGAAUUCCCAGUGUAGAGGUGAAAUUCGUAGAUAUUGGGAAGAACACCGAUGGCGAAGGCAGCCAUCCGGACCGACACUGACGCUGAGGCGCGAAAGCGUGGGGAGCAAACAGG